ACAAUAUCCGUUCAAAAGUGAAUCUACUAUAGAUUGAACUCUGCAGGAACGCUGUGCAUAAUAUUAUUACUGAAAAAUGGCAUAUUUAGGAAAAUGUGUUGUAAUGAAUUUAUUUUUAUAAAGACAGACAACAAGUCACUAAUAUCUAUCCAUAAUAAUCGAAACAUGGGGUCAACUUAACAACAUUACGACGCACAUCCUAAAGAUAUACUUGAUCUCCACAUAUGAGCCAAACAUUCGUCUCAAACAACUAUAUUGAUUGAAUUAUAUUGCUGGAAAAACCUUUGCUAAUAAAGUAAUUAAGGAAACAACUAAUCUAAUGACUAGUGCUAACUGAUAACUAUCAGUACAUCCAAAUGAGAUUGUAUUUACAUGAUAUUACGCACACAUGAGCAUCAAGAUUCCUCGUUCGCAGAAGAAUCCUUUUCUUUUGGUGAAAAACUUAGUAAAGUGCAGAUUUACAGCCUAAGUUAAAUGUUAUACCGUGCACGAGUUAUACAUGCAUACAUACAUGAGUUUUGAAGAGAGCGAAAUAAGUGGAAACGUGAUGGUGCAGGAGCGGACGAAUAGUGAGUACAUCUGAGUGUGUGUGGCAAUACUUCCUAUCGAAGAUCAAAUAAUUUUUGAGAUCGCGGAAAUGUGUUCCAACACGAAAAUGUGAAACCAUACACAAAAGUUCCCUCAACCUUCAAGAUUUAUUAGAUCUUGGAGAACUUCUUGUUCAUAAAACACUGAAUUAAAACAUACAUCUAUGUAUGUGCACAAAACCCGCGAUCAUAGCAGAGUCUCAACAGAUUGCAGUAUACGAUCACUGCUCUACUCGAUACGACACCUCGACCAGUAUGCAUGUCUGCGACAUGUGAUUUUACUUCGAGAGCGAUUUGGCUCUAGCAAGAACCAGAGGUUAUCGUCGGUAAACAAAUUUAUUGCUGCCUUGACCAGUUCGAAUUNNNNNNNNNNNNNNNNNNNNNNNNNNNNNNNNNNNNNNNNNNNNNNNNNNNNNNNNNNNNNNNNNNNNNNNNNNNNNNNNNNNNNNNNNNNNNNNNNNNNAGUUCGAAUUCUGACUUAGAGGCGUUCAGUCAUAAUCCACAGGUGUUAGUUUUGGACCCCUGACCGAUUGGUCAAGUCCAUGAACCAAAUGUCUGAACCCGCUAUUCCUCUCUCACUAAGCACGACUACUUUCGCAGCAAUUAUUCAACAGCAAGGUAGACUAACCUGUCUUACGGCGGUCUAAACUCCGCACAUAUUCCCUAUUAUAGGAUGAACAAUGCAAUGUUUGCGAAUUCUGCUUCACAAUGAUAAGAAGAGCUGACAUCAAAAAGGGUUAAAAAGCAACGUCGCUAAAACGGAUGCUUGGCUGCCACAACCAAAUUAUCCCUGUCCUAGUUUUUCUGACACCUUUUACUAGAAACGUUCUGAAUUAAAAGGAUCGAUAGGCCACGUAUCGCGGUAUGUACUCGUACUGAAAGUCAAGCUCAACCGAGCUUUUGUCCUUUCGCUUUACGAGUGGUUUCCGUCCUCUCUGAGGACAGUUAGGACACCUUCUUACGAUUUAACAGAUGUACCGCCCCAGUCAAACUCCCCGCAUGACGAUAGUGUCAUUAAUGAGAUAUGUUUAACACAAAGAUGGAAAACAGCCAAAAUACAAUUCUCUUCUCACCGGAUAAGUAAAGAAUCGAUGAAAGUGGCGAUAUUUCAUUGGAGGCCGAAGUCUCCUUGCUAUGCUUCACCUCUCAUGACUCUUAAGAAUGUCAAAGUAGAGUCAAAGUCAACAGCGUCUUCUUUUCUCGCUCUUUUUUUCCACUUCCUUGACUAUGGUUUCGCUAGACAGUAGUUAGGGACAGUACUUUCUCGUUAAUGUUUAAUGGUUAUAAGCAUAUCCAGAGCUAUUAUAAGGUAAAUCAACUAUUGUACGACCAUACAGAAAAGGUGCGGAUAAACUACACGAGAGCAUACUCUUUCCACCACAAUCAUCUCAUUACACAGGGUUGGUUUCGUUCAUGCGCAUCAGUAGUUAGCUAACGAGGCAUUUCGCUACCUUAAGAGAGUCACAGUUACUCGCGCCGUUUACCCACGUUCACUCGAAUUACUACUAUUCAACAUUCAGGACACUCAGCAGAAAUUGGAGAGAGUAAACGCCCGCUAGAACCACCUGCCUCCUCUGUUUUAAUUAGACAGUCGGAUUCCCCCAGUCCUUAUCAGUUCCAGUUCGACCAUUUGAUGGUCGGUCAGGAUAAUAAGCCCGAAGACAAAGCACACACCUGAAAACCUCAACAAGGCAAUCUUGUCACUAGUCCAGCCACGAGCGAAACCGCAUCAGUUAACAGGUCAACCGAUCAGUUCACUGGAGCCAAUCUUUUUCUCGAAGUUAUGGAUCUUAUUUGCAGAAUUGCCUUACCUACAUUGUUCUUUCGACUAAAGGUUGUUCACCUUGGAGACCUGAUGCGGAUAUCGGUACGAUGCAGCACAGAUUAUUGGAUUUCCUUGGUUUUUCAAGGGCAGACCAUAGGUUACGAGAUAUCACAGAAAUCGCGAUGCUUUACGGUAACAAUGUCCCUAUCUACGGCUGAACCAAUUCCAGGGAGUCCGUUCCUUAGCUAGAGAAGAUAACUCUGUUAUGCUCAACUAAUCUCCGAGUGAAGUAACAAAAUUCAACCAAACUCGAAUGCGUUACCGCGUAAGAGACUCAAAGAGCCGCAAUCUUUUUCUAUAUGCGGUAGAGAAUUGUCACCCUAUUCCCUUUUGAUGCCCAAGAGAAAAGAAACUUUCCUCUCUUAAUGAUAGAAGGUGUAGACCAGUGUCUUAGGAUCGACUGGCCACAUUCAACUACUGUUCACAUGGACCCCUUCUCCACUUCAGUCUUCAAGGAUUGAACUUAAAUAAUUACUGCUACCACCGAGAUCUGCACUGACGGAAGCUCCAGCUGUGCGUACACCCAAAGCCCUAGCCAGUUCGGUUGGGUGUAGGUUUCUCGUUCAAGCGUCUCCUUCCAUUUUCAAGGCUAGUUGACUCGGCAGGUAAGUUUUUACACACUUGUUAGCGCGUACGGACUUCCAUGUCCACCGUCCUGCUGUCUAUCCUAUUUGUAUUUAAGACUAAAGUACUCUCUUUUACCACACCUACUUAGUAAUAAUUCUGGCCCCGUUUGCUUAUUUUCUUUUUGUAAAUGAUUUCGCCCUUCUCGUUUUCAACAUCAUCUUCUCCAGAGAUAAAGGAUAUUUGCAGCAUCUAGAGACUAGACUACAUGCUCCCCUUCUCAGCAGAUUUUUUACUCAAUUAUUUGAGAUCAGAUAGCAAGUGCUAGUGUGUUCCUCACCAACUGCAGGUCAGCCGCUUCUGCCCUAGAUAUGGCAGAACAUUGGACACGCCUAUUCUAAGUAUGAUGACAGUUUUAGAAAAGCUUAUUGAACCGCUUGAAUACCACACCACCUUUCACUUCAAAUGCUUGCACUAAAUUACACUACAUGAGUGACUAUUUACUUGCAAGAGAAUUAUUUUCUUGAAGCCAACAAGAAAUAAUUAGGGAGAUGUUGCACCUGAUUCUACCCAAACUUUGGCGAAUUUCAGGAGGUGGUAAUUUCACUCAUGUAGUUUGUUCGCAUGUAUGUUGUAAAUGUAAGUUGUAAAUCUAAAGAUGUGCUGGGUCGAAAUUGAAAAAGUACACUAAGUCAUGCACAGUAGUCUUAAUAUCCGAACUGAAACUGAGAAAGUGCACUAAACCAAGUACACUUAUCCUAAUAUUUCAGAUUCUAGCCCCAAUGUGCAGACUGCGUUUUAUAGCUUUAUUAACAACCUUUAAAGCGUGAUCGACUAAAGUUGUUCCAAUCAAUAUGCGCAGUAACGUAUACUUUCAUAUAUCACACUGUACACUAGAUUGAACUUCUUCGAAAUCAACUUUUUUGGUAGACGUCUUCACGGUGAAAUAGCCGAGUUGUGAAGUGAGUCGCACCCUGGCACCGUUUCGUUGAUUCGUUGAGUAGUGACGCAUUCUUUUUUUGGUACAGGGAUCACUCGCCACAAGCUUCUCAGUGCCCAGAGUCAAUGAGGUUCGCUUCGGACCAG
rnacentral:rRNA from 1 species